AAGACUAUAGACCUGCGGAGUACCUGCGGAAGGAUCAUUGAUGAAAUAGAAUAGAAUGGGUAUAGUAAUACACUGUACUAUUCUAUUCACUUCUCUAUACAUGUGAAGGACAGUAAUUCUGUUCCUAUACACAACAAUAAUCACUUGAUUUAUUUAAUAAUCUAUAAUCACUAAAACUUUCAACAACGGAUCUCU
rnacentral:misc_RNA from 1 species